UACGAAGGGGGCUAGCGUUGCUCGGAAUUACUGGGCGUAAAGCGCGCGUAGGCGGCUUUGUAAGUUAGAGGUGAAAGCCCGGAGCUCAACUCCGGAAUUGCCUUUAAGACUGCAUCGCUAGAAUCAUGGAGAGGUGAGUGGAAUUCCGAGUGUAGAGGUGAAAUUCGUAGAUAUUCGGAAGAACACCAGUGGCGAAGGCGACUCACUGGACAUGUAUUGACGCUGAGGUGGCGAAAGCGUGGGAGCAACAGG
rnacentral:rRNA from 1 species